CCCGCUGCUCGUAUACCAGUUGGAUCUUCAAUUGCUGCAGUUCGGCCUUUCCCUCCCCAAGGGCGACAGAUAGCUCUUCUAUAGUUCUUCUCAGGGAUUGGAGUUUGUCGGGAUCCUGAACAGGAGCAAACUGAGCUCCUUCGGCUAGCUGCCUUUGAAGGCGGGCAACCUCGUCGGUCGCCAUCCUGAGCUUCCCCCUAU
rnacentral:lncRNA from 1 species